AAAACAUAAAAUCAGCAGCUGUACUGUUUAAGUACAUUUGUAUUUCCAUUACAGUAUAAACUUACUGCCAUGAUGGAGUUCUGGUUUAUGACCACAGUCUUUUUUGUUAACACAGGUCAACCUGUUUUCUCUGUGCAAGAGGUAAAGGAGGGUGAGAAUGUGUCUGCAUCCUGCUCUGUGUUUCACUCCUGCCCCACAUAUCCACCUUCUUUCAUCUGGAGUCACUCUGGAGAGCAGCAUGAUCAAACACAGCAGCUUCAUGAAGGCCAGUGGAAUUCAACAUCUACUCUGACCUUUCGCCCAAACCACUCUGAUCACAACAAGCCUUUAAAAUGCAACAUAACAUACCAUCGAGGGCUGCACCUGGAAACAUCUAAGAUACUUCAAGUAAGAUUUCUCACAGAUGGCCCUGACAUCAAGCCUUCCUCAAAGUGCUCCUCCGAGGAUGGCGUGGUAAAGUGUGAGUGCAUCGUAGAGUCUGAGCCUCCCAGCAUGGUCUAUUUUAUUCUUGGUGACAGAGUCAUGCAAAGCAGCAAAGCAGAGAAAAAUGGCUCUGUUACUAUUGAGACUCUGCAGACAGACUUUGGGUCUUUCAGGUUUGUGCACUGCCUGGCAAACAACAUGCUGGGAUAUGACAACAUCUUGCUCUCUUUACCUGUUAAUGACAACAUGCAGAAUAUUCUUAUCUCAACCGGAGCAGGUGUGAUUUUGCUGAUUAUUUUGAUAGGAAGUGGAGUGGGAGUUGUUAAAAAAUGUAGGGGGAGAUCAAGAGACACAACAACCACUAACCUGAGCACCAUGAUGUCAGACAGACCUGUGGAGCUCCCUCAUAGUGCCCCACCGAAAAGGAAAAUGAGCCGUAAGGAUAUCCCUUCCCCUGACAUGUACACCAAUUAUCCUGUCUAUGGCAACACUGACUGGGAUGAGUCAAUAUAUGCCAAUGUGUAGCAUGUGGAAGACCAGCUGGAGUCCAUGUUUAUGUCCUCUGAUAUACGAGUUAAGAAUGAGUCAAGGUUUUUUUUCCCCAAUCUCAUUCAGUUUUCAAUGUUUAUCACUUAUAUCUGUCAUAUAUAAUUCACAUUUUAUUUGCAGAAUACAAUAAGUAAAUAUUAAUGUCUAAAACUGUGAUGAUCUUGUGAUUCCUGUCAUAAACUGCAAAAAACUGGAACAAGGUUACUUCAUCAGAAUUCAUGUUUUUGUAUUUUUUUUUUAUUUUUUUUAAUACCUGUGAACAGUUCCUCUAUCCAAUCUUUAAAUGACGCAAUGCUGCCACCUGGAGCUUGUUUCUCUUUCUCCCUCAUUUGCGCGCGCGUGUGUGCGUGUGUAUACACACACACACACACACACACACACACACACACAAGGGGUGCAACGAUAUUCGUAUCGAUAUUGAACCGUUCGAUACAGUGCUUUCGGUUCGGUACGCAUAUGUAUCGAACAAUACAACAUUUGUAAUUUAUUUUAUCAACUUUCCUUCUGACGAUGCUGUCUGUGUUGAGCGCUCAGUGAAUCUGCGUUCGACUACUCCGCCUAGGCUGCACUGUCGAGCGCAGAUCCACUGAGCACUCAACACAGACAGCAUAGUCAGAAG
ensembl:lncRNA